rfam:Tenacibaculum dicentrarchi strain AY7486TD, complete genome.
ACCUAGCCCCGAUUGAAGCAUUUGUUUGAGCUCUUUUUUGUUUUUUUUUCUUCUAAAAAAAUAAAAAAAGCGAGUGCGGAAAGCGGGAAAUUGC